rnacentral:hammerhead_ribozyme from 1 species
AUCCAGCUGACGAGUUCCAAAAUAGGACGAAAUGCGCAUCCUGGAU